rnacentral:rRNA from 1 species
UACGAAGGGGGCUAGCGUUGCUCGGAAUCACUGGGCGUAAAGGGUGCGUAGGUGGCGCUGUAAGUGGGGUGUGAAAUCCCGGGGCUUAACCCCGGGACUGCAUUCCAUACUGCGGUGCUUGAGGACUGGAGAGGAGACUGGAAUUUACGGUGUAGCAGUGAAAUGCGUAGAGAUCGUAAGGAAGACCAGUGGCGAAGGCGGGUCUCUGGACAGUUCCUGACACUGAGGCACGAAGGCCAGGGGAGCAAACGGG